rnacentral:pre_miRNA from 1 species
UGCUGUUGAAGUUACGAUGAUGAUGAUGAUUACGAUGACGGAGCGUUGAUCGUUAAAGGGAGAAGAUCCGUCAUCGUAAUCAUCAUCAUCAUCGAAACUUCAA